rnacentral:rRNA from 1 species
UACGGGGGGAGCAAGCGUUGUUCGGAUUUACUGGGCGUAAAGGGCGCGUAGGCGGUAGCACAAGUCAGUUGUGAAAUCUCCGGGCUUAACUCGGAAAGGUCAACUGAUACUGUGCGACUAGAGUGCAGAAGGGGCAACUGGAAUUCUCGGUGUAGCGGUGAAAUGCGUAGAUAUCAGGAGGAACACCGGUGGCGAAGGCGGAUCUCUGGGCCUUGCCUGACGCUGAGGCGCGAAAGCUAGGGGAGCGAACAGG